rnacentral:lncRNA from 1 species
AAUUCUUUUAUCUAGUGAUCUAUCAAACAAUCCAGAUCGAGAAGAGCACUCAAAAGAAGUAAGGAUGUAAAUGCAAUUGAACCUAGCACUGUCAUUAACUUAGAAGAAGUAAACUCUAAGUAAGGAGACAUUCACUCAUCGAGAUUGGAACAAAUUUUUUUCAAUACUCGCUCAGCAAGCCAAAAGAUUUUGUGGAGGAAGCUUCGGUUCGCUAAACGAGACAUAGGCAAGAGAUUGAGAAUUUGUUGCUUUGAAGACCUCACUCAACAAGACAAAAGAUGUUGCUCAAUGAGACCCCUCUUUUUCCAGCACUUCUGGAAUAAGAAGUUAGUUAUAAUUAGUUUUUCCUUUUUGGCUUUUCUAUAUAUAUUGUAUAAUCUCCACACAAG